ACUGCAGGACUCAGACAGCUGGGAGCAAUGCCCAGCCCCAGCCCAGCUCUCCUGCAACAGUCCCCUCUCCUGGGCUCCUGGCUCAGAGCCGCCUCAGGUGGAAGGUCAGGAAGGAAGAGGAAAGAGAAGGAUCAAAUGCUUUCCCAGCACCUUAAGUGGGUCAGGUGAAAACACUGAGACCUGGAGGUAAACGCCUUAGGGCCCUAGUCAGCAAGGAGCAGAGCCAAGGACCCAGCUGACUCCAAUCGACCCCCCUGAGCCUCAAUUUCCUCAUCUAUAAAAUGGCCUGGUAGCAGUUCUUCCUCUCUCUCAGGAGGAGGACUUUCCGGCAGCAGAGAGAACUCACUGGAGGCCGACAGACCUGGGCUGGGAUCCUGGCUUCACUCCUGACAAGCUGUGUGACCUUGGGCAAGUUACAUAACACCCCUGAGUCUCAGUUUCCUUCUCUGUCAGAGCAGAAGAGAUGAUAACUCUGGCACAAGGCUGGGGUGAGACCUGGCUGAGACAAUCCAGGAAAGCAAUUAGCCUCUGGCUGAAGAGUCCAGGGCAAGAGUCUGCUCUGUUCAAGAAAAAGAGGGAAAGCAUCAUAACACUGG